GCAGGCAAGUUCCUGAAUUGUUCUAAUGUUUAUAGAUUCAAUAUGUCUUUAACAGUUUGAGCAUUUGUAAAAUCUUUGAGGCUUUUUUUCCUGUGGCUUUUUCUGGUGCACACACAGGCUCCUUAAGUUUCUGAAACUGUUCCCUAAGGAGCUAUGUAAGGGGGAGGCAGAGCGGGGAAUGCAUCAGCAGAUGUUUCUAGAGCUAUUUCCUGCGAUGAGAGGAAGGAUUGGCAGGAGCAGUGUGUUUCAUUCAGCCACAAACUUUGCUGAUUCAAGGGUAGACCUAAGGGAAUUACUCUUUAUGGGCUUUUCUGGUAUUGUCAUUUUGUUUGAAAAGACUAAGUCAUGGGUUUUUUAAUUGUAAUUUUUAAAGGAGGCAUUUAUUUUCAACAGAUAUUGUGAAAUAUAAAAUCAGUACUGCAAACCCACUCACGAAAAGGGCAAUUUUGCCCUAAAACGUUGCAUUACUAAGGUGGGAAGUAGAAGAAACAAUUCUUACAAAUGGGCGUUUUUGUCAUUUCUUAUAUAAAAACAAAUCCAAAGCUUGGCAUUUGUUUUUAUUGACAUAGUAGAAGCUGGUCAGCAGCAGAAAAUAAUUUCUUCUUAAAAACAUAAUGACCUAAUCUCUUAUCUAAUACUGGUCUAGUCUCUAAUGAUGGAAAGCAGAUCCGUAGUUGCCUGGAGGUGGUAAAGAUUGAGUAGGAAGGCUUCCUAAAGAAUAUUUUGGAAUCAUAGGAAUAGUCUAUAGGGAGGUAAUGGCAACUAUACACUGAAAAUGGGUGCAUCUUGUUGUAUGUAAAGUAUAAUCUCAGUAAACUUGAUUUUUAAAUAUAAAUAUUGACCUCCUGGAGUUUAGGGAGAACUAAGAGAAAAGGAUGUGUUUCCCACCAAGCAUAAAUGGGGAAGAAGUGAGGAGAUGAGAUUGCCACGGAGGGAAGACCCCAUGGACCAUUCAGGGGUGGAGAAAAGGAAAACUGGUUUCCCUACCUUCUGCCCCAAGGACUUAAAACUGCUCUGCAAUGUCAUGUUUGGGGAUGGGAUGGGUAAGAGGAAUUCACUGCCAAAUACCUCAUGCUACCCCUUUUAUAUAGAGUAAGUUUCUGGUCAAGAGUGAUGUAAAUUGUGUCUGUGUGAGUGGGGUUGACCAGAAAGCCAGGCACUACCCAGCAUCUUAGUAGUCAGCUUGCAGGAGAGGUUUUACAGUGUCCUGUCUUUAGGUGUGUCUACAGCCAGGGACCUGAGGAGGUCUGGCAGGGGAGCGGUCUCUGAACUAUGCUGGACUCAAGUUCACAUCAAGGUGCUCCUAUUUCCAGAGGCUGUAGGAACAGGAGAAAGCUGAGCUACUCCUCCCCAGCAGUGCUAAAAAUUUCCAAAUGAGAAAAUCACCUAGAGAACUCCCUGGCACCUGCCAGCUGAUGGGCAUCUUUCUCUGCCGCAUCCACUGAGGAACUGUUACCCCCUUGACACACUCACAAAUUCACUUAAAAUUAUAACACAAAUAUAUUAAUACCAACAAUCAUGGUGGUAACAUUUCUUCGUGAUCUGUAGUUAGUGGGCACUGUGUUAAGUGCUUUUUACACAUGACCUCAUAUCACCUUUCCAACAGCCCUGGGAAGUAAGAGCUAUUAUUUCUACUAUUAGUCUCAUUUUCUUGAGGAGCCAAAUGGGGCUUAGAAGAGCAAAUUACUUGCCCAAAACAUCAGACAGGGAACAGGUGUCAGAGCAGUGUCAUUAAUGGAAGCGCCAAACUCUAUUGCUGAUCAUCUCUGUGCCCAAAGGCCAAAAGGUGAAAAGAUCUUAAUGCUUUCAACUAUGCUCACUUUAAAGAGGGGGCCAGGGACGGGCUUCCUAUCUGGAGAGUGAGGGCUGGCCUUCGAUGGUUACCCACCCCUUAGAGUGGCCAAAGCCAGAGCUGAACUCAGAUCUUGGAGGAGGGUGUAAGUGGAUCUCCCCAGGGUAUAAUUUUCUAUUAUUUGGAUGGAGGGGAAAAGGAAACUCAUCCUAAGGCAUUUUAAGGAUAUGGGAAUGAGGCUCAGUGAUGUGACUCAAGAACUAGUCAAAGAGGUCACUGAAAUCCAGGUGUCCUGUGGUUUUUCCCUUCACUUAAGAUUGUCUGAUAACGCUGUUUAAUUCACCACAUUAGCUCCACAAAUAAAGGGGAAAGCUGCUUUU